ACCUAGGGAGGCAGCAGUAGGGAAUCUUCCACAAUGGGCGAAAGCCUGAUGGAGCAACGCCGCGUGGGUGAAGAAGGUCUUCGGAUCGUAAAACCCUGUUGUUAGAGAAGAAAGUGCGUGAGAGUAACUGUUCACGUUUCGACGGUAUCUAACCAGAAAGCCACGGCUAACUACGUGCCAGCAGCCGCGGUAAUACGUAGGUGGCAAGCGUUAUCCGGAUUUAUUGGGCGUAAAGGGAACGCAGGCGGUCUUUUAAGUCUGAUGUGAAAGCCUUCGGCUUAACCGGGGUAGUGCAUUGGAAACUG
rnacentral:rRNA from 1 species